CCAUUACCAAUGCAUGAGAUUGACAAAUGAGAUCCAUCUCCUAUCAUGACAGUGUCAUUACCACUAUAUGUAUUAUAGGUUUGAAUCAUACCAGGUUCUGAGGUAAUGUGUGAUGUAGCCCCUGUAUCUGGAUACCAUUCUGAGCCAUAGGGUUCUUCAAUGUGUCUUGCUGCUAAUGCAGUUGGUAUCUCAUCUACCUGGCUUGAAGUUUUCCUCUCAACUCAAACUCCUUUGCAACAGAUUUCUGUGUAAAUCUAUUUAUGAGAGCCUGCCAUACUUCAAGUAAUCAGGGUUCAUCAUUUCUCCAGUCUCAGUUUGUAUCAUUCGAUUUGGAGGUUCUGCUUUCACGGAUUCGCCAGCUCCUGUAGUCAUGGAUCGCCAGCUCAUUCGUUCACUUGGAUCGCCAACCCACGACCUUCCUCUGGUUUAGCUUCCUCUGUUCCAGUUACUUUUUCAGGUUUGGCUUUUCUGCUGUUACUGACUUCUAUACACUUCUGAUCUUCUUUAACUUGUUUAAUUCUUCUA